rnacentral:rRNA from 1 species
UCCUACGGGAGGCAGCAGUAGGGAAUUUUCGUCAAUGGGCGCAAGCCUGAACGAGCAAUGCCGCGUGAACGAGGAAGGUCUUCGGAUCGUAAAGUUCUGUUAAGGGGAAAAAGAGCGGAGAGAGGAAAUGGUCUCCGAUUGAUAUUACCCUUCGAGGAAGUCACGGCUAACUACGUGCCAGCAGCCGCGGUAAUACGGAGGAUGCGAGCGUUAUCCGGAUUCAUUGGGUUUAAAGGGUGCGCAGGCGGGCCUUUAAGCCGGCGGUGAAAUCGCGGGGCCCAACCCCGCCGAG